GACGAACGCUGGCGGCGUGCUUAACACGUGCAAGUCGAACGGUGACGAGGAGCUUGCUCCUCUGAUCAGUGGCGAACGGGUGAGUAACACGUGAGCAACCUGCCCAGACUCUGGGAUAACAGUUGGAAACAGCUGCUAAUACCGGAUACGAGACGGAGAGGCAUCUCUACCGUCUGGAAAGUUUUUCGGUCUGGGAUGGACUCGCGGCCUAUCAGCUAGUUGGUGAGGUAAUGGCUCACCAAGGCGACGACGGGUAGCCGGCCUGAGAGGGCGACCGGCCACACUGGGACUGAGACACGGCCCAGGCUCCUACGGGAGGCAGCAGUGGGGAAUAUUGCACAAUGGGCAAAGCCUGAUGCAGCGACGCCGCGUGAGGGAUGAAGGCCUUCGGGUU
rnacentral:rRNA from 1 species